rnacentral:lncRNA from 1 species
GUAUGCAGGAUUUCCUGGUGACCUCAUUGCCACCGUCACAUAUAUGCUUGUUGGUGAUUAUCAAUUGAUUGUAACCAUGAAAGCCAAAGCUCUAAACAAGGCCACCCCAGUAAACCUCGCUCAGCAUGCCUAUUGGAACCUGGGUGGUCACACCUCUGGCGAUAUCCUGUCCAACGAAAUCCAGAUCUUCGGUUCUCACAUCACUCCAGUUGAUAAAGAGCUCAUCCCCACAGGCAAAAUUGUCCCUGUGAAGGGAACACCAUAUGAUUUCCUCAAACCCUGCACCAUUGGAAGCAAAAUCAACAAGCUCCCUAGUGGCUUUAAUAUUAACUAUGUGCUGGAUGAUACUGCCCCCAACAAGGUGGGGUUGGCGGCCAUGGUGCACCAUAAGAAGUCUGGAAGAAUGUUGGAGCUCUACACCAAUGCACCAGGGCUGCAAUUUUACACUUCUAAUUUUUUGAAGGACGAGAAGGGGAAGGGUGGAUUUGUUUAUCAAGCCCAUGCGGCCCUGUGUUUGGAGACUGAAGGGUUCCCUGACUCGGUGAAUCAUCCUAAUUUUCCUUCACAGAUUGUGACUCCUGGAAAGUCUUACCAUCAUUCUAUGUUGUUCAAGUUUUCAAUCAGGGCCUGAUCUUUUUCAAUUGUAGUGUAAAACCAUUAACAAGAAGAAGAGAGAAUGUUCUACCUUCAUAACUGUCCUGGUGAGUACCCUCCAAAGCAGGUUGCAGAAUAAUGUAACUUGGGUUGUUUCAAUGUAUGCAAACUUUGGCCCAAGAAAUCAUGAAUAAUUGAGCAGUGGACACACAUCUUGAUUCCUGUCAUUGUUUUUGUAGUUAUUUUGUUUUUACUGGAUAACAAGGAACUUGAGUUAUGUUGGAUGAUGUCAACAUGUUAUUUUUAGUUAAAAAGUGAAACCACCCUGGGAUAGGACAGCCCAAUGAAGCUUAAACUGGAGGACUGGGAUCUUCAUCAGGCUCAAUUGAAGUCUGAAGAAAUCGAAACUGCUGCAUAUUAAGGGCCUGUUUGACAGAAUUUUAAAAAUAAUUAGAAAAGAAAAAUGAAAAACAUUGUUCAAUGACUUUCAGGAACAAAAUUUUAUUUAGAUACUUAAAUAUAAAAUAGUUUUUUUAGGUUAUUCACCAUGAAACAGUAUUACACUUAUGUGUAAAGGUUUUGAAAAUAUCUUUUUAUCUUUCCCAGCAAAAAAAAAAAAAAAAAAAAAAAAAAAAUCCAUUGAGAAGGUUUUUUAUCUUCUCACAUCUGCUGCAAUGCAGGGGUGAGAUGGAAAAGCCAUUAUAGUUGGAAGGCGGCAAUGGAUUUUGUAGUUGGGGUUUUUUUUGUUUGGAUUCUUCAACUGAAUUCAAUGAGUCCAACAAAUGGCAACUGAAUGCAGCCUAUAUGAAUAAAAAACAAAGAAACCAAACAAACACAUGGAUUUCACAACUGUUAAAGAGAAACAGACUUGAAAUACUCUGAAUUAAAACUUUUGUGACCGAGUCUGCACAAUGUGCACAUCCCUAUAUAUAUAAGUCUGUAGGGUUUGCACAGAAGCUAGGACUGAAUUAAAGAUGGCAUCCUUCAUACCUACAGCAGGAGUAGUGGUAUGGGUAGUUAUCAUGAUAUUAUUCUCCCUUGCCAAUGCAGUAUCAUCACCAUCAUCAACUGAUGAGGGAGAGGCUCUGCGCAGCACCGGCUGGUGGAAUUCUACUUCUGCUCAUUUCACCUGGGAUGGUGUAGUUUGUAAUGAGCGCGGAAGCGUGACCGAAAUACACCUUUCCUAUUCAGGAAAAAAAUCAGGUGAGCUUAGCAAAUUGAAGUUUUCUUCAUUUCCCAGCCUGGUUGGGCUCUUCCUUGCUAACUGUGGACUCAAUGGUAGCAUCCCACACCAAAUAGGUACUCUUACUCAACUCACCUAUUUUAUUCUCCCUCAAAACAAUCUUAUAGGUGAGCUACCUCUUUCCUUGGCUAACCUCACUCAGUUGAAGUACCUCUUCCUUCAUUCUAAUUGACUACAUGGUUCGAUUCCUCCUGAAAUUUGGAAAAUGAAGAAUCUAAAUAUUUUGUAUUUGCAUUACAACAACCUUGCUAGUGUCAUUGUUGGUCUAAGAUUAAACACUUAUGCAAAAUAUAUAUUUUUGGACUGCUUGAACACAUUUUAUUGAUGAAGAGUGCUGAAUUUAUACAUGAGCUUGUAAUUGAAAUGACAUUAGAAUAGCAGAAAAUCAAGCUACUAGAUGAUGAACAACUGCUUCCUAUAAAAUAGAAACCAAAUCUUGACUAAAUAAAAAUAAGAAAAUAUUUGGAUGUUGCAAAUUUUGUGCAAGACUCCGGUUGCAAUAUUUAACUUCAAAAUUCAAAUUCCUACAGAUACUAAGUCAAAAUUCAACACUCCUCCUUGACUUCGUAGAUGCAAACUCCAAGUCUUGCACGUAGAAACUCAAAACAAACUUUGAAAGGGGUCUGCUUCUUUAAAGCUUUUGUUGGCAAUCUGUUCAGAAAAUAUACUGUUGUACUUGCAGUUUUAGCCCAAAAUUUUUUAGGUAGAUCUUUUUCAUGCGGAAGACAUCUUGUCAUCUCCAAAAUCGUUCUAUUUUUCCUCUCCAAGACUUCAUUUUGUUGUGGAUUAUAUGGUGCAGUGAGCUAAUGAACAUUGCCUGCAUUCCCUUUCAAGGAUGGCGUCUUUUGAGGUCCACCAACAUCAGUAUGCACUAAAAGCAGUUUUUGGGUUGCUCUCCAGGAUGUUUUCUUUGGAAAGGGAAGUUUAGUUUGCUUCCCAUAUUGACAAGUAGCACAUAUAGGAAGAUCUUUUUCUAAGUCAGGAAGUCCUUCAACUAUAUGUAGAGCACAACAUCAUGAUGAAAGUGCCCGAGCCUUCUGUGCUAAAACAUUGUUGUGCUAUCUUGUUGUAAAACAGCAGCAUGCUCAUCUUCCAGUAAAUUCAAGGCAAAACUCUUGCCCUUCAUUUUUAUGUUGAACACUUCUUUGCCUUCAGCAUCCUUGAUAAUGCAAUUCCUAUCUUCAAAAUAAACUUUAAAUUCUUUCUCAACGAGCUUUCCAACAUUGAGUAAGUUUUGGUCAAUGUCAGGCACAAACAAAACAUCAUAAAUGAGUUUCAAACCUGUUUGGCUUUCGAUAGCAACUGUUCCUUUGCCCUUCACUGGAAUAUACUCACCAUUUCCAAUUCUGACUUUGGAAAUAGCUGUUCUAUCAAGUUCUCUAAAGAGAUCUUGAUUAUUUGUCAUGUGGUUUGUACAACCACUAUCCACAAGCCAGCUUUCAGAGGUACUUUUAUUAGCAAAACACGUUGCUGCAAACAAUUGCUCCUCCUGGCAAUAGUCAAUUGUUGUACUAGUUUCUUCCUACUGUUGAUUUUUUCAAAUCUUCUCCACAUGUCCUUGUUUACCACACUUGUUGCAUUUCACAUAUGGUCUCCACCAACAUUUUUGUGGAGAAUGAUUUGUCUUCUUGCAAUGAGGACAAGGUGGAAAAACUCCAUUUUUCUGGUUGUUGCUGCAUGGCUUGCUAUUGUUCAUCUUUCCAUUUUUAUGGCCUGCAUUUUUCUGCAUUCUUGUUUGAAAUGCUCCUUCUACAGUAUCUCCUUGUCUCAUGAGUCUCUUUUGUUCCACAGCCUCCAAGGAAUGUAAUCUGUCAAGCUACUAGUUGACAUAUCCUUUGAAUUCUCCAAAGAGGAAAUUGUAGCUUCAUAUUUCUCAGGAAGUGUAACCAAUAUCUUUUGAACAAUCUUCUCAUUGGAAAACUCUUUUCCAAGCAACCUAACUUUGUCUGCUAUUGAAAGAAGUUGUGCAACAUAGUCUUUAACAACAUCAGACUCCCUCAUUUUCUUCAUUUCAAAUUCUCAAAUCAAGUUCAUCACCUGCAUGUUCUUGAUUCUUUCAUCUCCUUUGUAUUCCUCCUUGAGAUACUCCCAAAUUUCUACAGCUGAAUCAAUUUUCAUGAUUUUGAUGAAAAUUGAUGGUGAAACUGCAACAAACAAGCAAGCUUUCGCUUUAGCCUUUCUUGUCUUUCUUUCUUUAUGCAACUUCAUUUGAGCCACAGUUGGAUUGGCUCCCAGGGGAGGAACUUCAUAAUUUUCUUCCACUGCUUCCCAAACAUCAAAUGCUUGUAGAUGAACUGUCAUUCUAACAACCCAAGUUUCAUAAUUGUCUCCAUCAAGAAUUGAUGGUGCAGUUGUGAGACUUGACUCCUCCAUUGCUAGAUGAUUUUAGAAGGUGUUUGGGUUCACUCGUGGUGUUUUGGGUUCACUCACUUCACGGGUCUUUAGGUGUUUAGGCACUCUCAAGGUAUUUAGGCUCACUCAACUCAUUGGCCCCUCAAGAUAACUAUGGAUUUGAUACCAUAAUGUUGGUCUAAGAUUAAACACUUAUGCAGAAUAUAUAUUUUUGGGCUGCUGGAACACAUUUUAUUGAUGAAGAGUCCUGAAUUUAUACAUGAGCUUGUAACUGAAAUGACAUUAGAAUAACAGAAAAUCAAGCUACUAGAUGAUGAACAACUACUUCCUAUAAAAUAGAAACCAAAUCUUGACCAAAUAAAAACAAGAAAAUAUUUGGAUGUUGCAGAUUUUGUGCAAGACUUCAGUUGCAAUAUUUAACUUCAAAAUUCAAAUUGCAAUAGAUAUUAAGUCAAAAUUCAACGGUCAAAAUUUUCAUCUUUUGGUAUCUUACCAAUCCAACUUAUCUUAUUCUUAGAGGUAAUCAAAUAAGUGGUUUUAUCCCUAAUGAAAUUGGGGAAAUAAAGAAUUUAGUGUCAUUAUCUUUCAUAUGAUGGACUACAUGGUCCAAUUCUUUCUGAAAUUGGGAAAAUGAAUAAUUUUAAUAUUUUGAAUUUAGGUUAUAAGAAUCUUACUGGUGUCAUCCCUUUUUCUUUUGGUAAUCUUACCCAUAUGACUUCUCUUAUUCUUAGAUGGCACCAUUAGCAAUGGUCACUGGACCAUUGGAGGUGGCAUUGCUAGGAUUAGCCGUGGACCAUAGGAUUUUGCCAGUACCGGCCUCCAUUGCCACCCAUCCACCAGCAGUUGUGUUUUUCUCAGAUGGUUUGAGGGUGAAGUUCUUACUGUCGCUAUUGACAAUGUUGGUGUAUACCUUAAUGCCGUCAGUGGCUGCCCCCCAGGUGCCUCCUCCAGAAAGGCCACCAGGUCCGGCUUCCUGCAUCAUAACCUUUUGGUUAGCCCAAGUUCAUGCGACCCUGCCUUCUACAUAACACCUUAAAAUUGGCAUACUUUGAACCACCACAAUUUUGAAUCCUUUGGUAUUUGCUUAAGGUCAUACUUGACCCAAAAGUUUUAAGCUCCACUACCAUGUUAAGCUAUCAAUUAACUCAAAAGCUUAAACAAAAAGCUCUAAUAGAAACAAUGUGUAUUGAUUACUACUCAAAAAGUGCUAUUUGAUAGCUUGUAAUUAACUCUUUUAAACACUUUUGAGUAGUAGUUAUUGCCUUUUAACCCAAUUAACAUGUUAAGGACCCUUGCAAUCAAUUCUAAUCAAAUUGUGUUAAGUUUUGGUGUUUUUGUUAGUAAUUUGAUCACCAAAACAAUCCAAGAAUGAGGGAGAAUUGUAUAUAGUUCAUGGCAAAGCUUUUGGAAGCUCAAAUUCAUGAAGAACCAAGCUUUGGAGCUCCAUAGCCCUUUGCCAAAGUCGUUCAAAGUAUGCAAGGAGAGAAGCAAGGAGAAGAGGAAAACAGAGUGAAGAAAACAGAGGACAAGCAGCUGCAGUCUUCAUGCGCACUUUUGGAGCACUUCCCGAAGUCCAUUUUCUACAUUCUAUAUACCAUUUCAAAGCUCAGGAAGUCAAGAAUCUAAUGCUUCAAACGGUGCGUGAUUCGGAGUUGAAACGAAGGAGUUACAGCCAUUGCAAGCAGAUCACUCCAAAGUGUUGCGAAAUCAGCCUUUUGUUGCGAGAAUUUCGCAGCCUUUUUGUACAGUGCUAUGGAAUUCCUCCUGAAGCUACCCGAUACAUGCCGCAAGCUGGAACUCUGAGAACCUCAAGUGGAAGCCAAUUUCGCAGCCCUGCGAGUUUAACUUGUUGUUGCGAAAAUAUUUCGCAGCCCUCUUGNNNNNNNNNNNNNNNNNNNNNNNNNNNNNNNNNNNNNNNNNNNNNNNNNNNNNNNNNNNNNNNNNNNNNNNNNNNNNNNNNNNNNNNNNNNNNNNNNNNNAGUGCUAGGUGAUAGGUAUGAGCCAUUGCAAGAUGCAUCAGUGAGAGGGAUUUAAUGUUUGAACCCAUUAAUGGGAAGCAUCUGUACAACACCGGUUAGAGAAUUGACUAUAUGUUAAUUCUCUAAUGCGAGGAAAAUAAACAAGUGACCGGAACUCCCUUUUUGUAUGAGGAACCUGAGCCUAGUGAUCUAAACUCCAAGAAACACUUUUCUUUGUAGUUAAAAUCAGUUACUAUUUUUAGUUAGCUUAAAACCAAACCUUUUUCAUUUAAACAUCUUUAUGUUUUCUUUUAAAGCUAACCUUGAAAUGAAAAGGCACCAAUUCAUCUUUGAAUUAAUAUCAAUUGUGAAGUGAAAACCCAUCCCAGUGAACGAUCCUAGAGCCACUAUGCUAUAGUAGUUUUGUCUUUGCUACCCUAGUUCAUGGUGUAAUAGGUUAUAAAUUUUGUUGAUUACUCCCUCAAUCAAAGAGCACCAGCUGGACACGAAUCAGCUGAGACACCAAGUGGGCACGAAUCAAAUGGCGCCGCUGCCGGGGAUCGAACCUCGAAUCAAAUGGUGUCAUUGCCACUGCCGCUGCUAGGGACGAAUCAAAUGGCGCCGUUGCCGGGGAUGGUGCCACUUUACAGUGAUAUCACCUUUUUAGAGUACUUGUGAUCUUCAUCACAAGUUUGGUGACUUUUCUUUUCCUUUAACUAACUCUUUUUAUUUCUUUAUUGUUCAUAUUUUAGUAUACCUUUUAUCUAGUUUUUAGUUUACCUUAAUUUUCUUUCUUUGAAUUGUUUUUCUUUUGUUUUCUUUUGUGUUCUCUGUUUUUAAUUCACAAAUUGCUAGUUGUGCAUGCCAUAUUGAAUACCAUAACAGAGGAAGCCAUGAACUUCAUGAGUUAUGUGGCUGAAGUCUCAAGAGAAUGGGAUGAACCAAAUGCUAGAGAUAAGGGAAGAAUGACGUCUCAACCUAAAGCUAAGGGUGAGAUGUAUAUUUUGAAUGAUGGUAUGAACAUGAAGGCAGAAAUUGCAGCUAUGGAAAGGAGAUUGGAAGAGCUAGAAAUGACAAAUAUGCAACCAGUGCAAGCCAUCUCUCAAACACCAUUGCAAGCUAUGCCUUGUGCCAUUUGUCUAUCUUAUGAGCACUUAGUGGAUGAGUGUCCUACCAUUCCAUCCGAGAGGGAAAUGUUUGGUGAUUGCAACACCUACAAUUCCAAUUGGAGGGACCAUCCAAAUUUCUCUUGGAAACCACAGCCACCUCAGUAUCAGCAACCUGCUCAAGCACCACAGCAAGCCUCAAACCUUGAACAAGCUAUGGUGAAUCUUUGCAAGGUCGUGGGAGAUUUUGUUGGAAAACAAGAAGCCAUCAAUGCUCGAUUCAAUCAAAGAAUGGACAGAGUGGAUCAAAGAAUUGAUAGAGUGGAGAGUAUGUUGAAUAAAAGGAUGGAUGAAAUGCAAAAUGAUCUAUCUCAGAAGUUAGAUAUUCUCCAAGAUUCAAUCUCAAGGUUAGCCAACCUCAACACAGUGCAAGAGAAAGAAAAAUCUCCUUCUCAACCUUAUCAAAAUUCCAUGAGUAUCCAUGAAAUGGAGGCUAAGGAGGGAGAACCUUCACAAAAGAGGGAAGCCAAAGAAGUGAUCACUCUGAGGAGUGGUAAAGAGGUUGAUCUGCCCACAUGCAAGCUAGAGCAUAAGGUAGAGAGUGAAACAGAGAAAGAAAAGAGGGAGGAAAUCAAAGGAAAGAAAAAGGGGAAAAGCAUAGAGAAAGAUGGCUAUGAUGUUAAUGUACAAAGAGAACCACAGAGGAUAGUCAUCAAGGAAGAAUUGAUGAAGAAAUACAUGCAUCCACCUUUUCUCCAAGCUUUGUAUGAGAAAAUCAUACAGAGAAAGCCUCAAUUGAAGGAUGCAAACUUCAUAUGGGAUCCGGGCAAGCUAAAUCAGGAUCAAAUUUUUUGAUGGACUUAGUCUUUUUAAAGACUAGCUAGUCCAUAUCCUUUUGUUUUGUUUUUUAGUUGUUUUAAUUUUGAUUUCAAUGCUUUAAUUUUGAUUUCAAUGCUUUAAUUCUGUUUGUUUUGAUGUAAUAUAGGUUUUUGGAUGAUCAAAAUCAAGAGGAAUUGCAAAGAAAUUGAAGAAAAAAAAUCGGAGCAAAAUCGGAGCAAAAUUGGAGUCAAACGGAGCGAAAACAGGGGAAAAACAGGGGUCUGCGAGAUUUCGCAGCCUCUGCGAAAUCGGCAUUUUGUUGCCAAACCAUUCCGCAACACUGUAGAAGUCUCUGCGAGGGCAUUUCGCAGCUGCGAAACCAAAUUUGGCACACGAGUGCCACUUCGCAGCACAGGAGCCCCCAUUUCGCAGCUGCGAAAGCGGCUGCGAACCAUCAAAGCAUGAAAUCCUCCAUUUCGCAGGGAAAGCUCCAUUUGGCAGGGUAUUUCGCAGCUGCGAAAGUGAAUUUGGCACACGAGUGCCACUUCGCAGUACAGUAGCAUCCAUUUGGCAGCUGCGAAACGCAUUGCGAAGUGGUAAAGCCUGAUUUCGCACCAAAAGCUCCAUUCCGCAGGGUAUUUCGCAAUUGCGAAGCCGGUUUUGGCACACGAGUGCCAUUUCGCAGCACAGUGACUCCCAUUUCGCAGCUGCGAAAUGGCUGCGAAGUCCCAAAAAGUGAAAAAUCCCAAUUUCACAGCCGCACCCCCAUUUCGGCAAUUGUUGGACACAUCUCGAUCACUUCCCGAAGUUCAAAUUAUGCAUGUAAUAUCUUGUUUGAAAGCUUGGGAAGUCAGGAGUCCAUAGCUUCAAAUGGUGCUCAAUUUGGAUUUGAAACGGAAAAGUUAUGGCUGCUUGAAGAUGACUGUGCAAACCAUGAACGGAAAUGUCGCACCUCAAUUUUGCUACUGUUGGACACAUUUUUGAAGCACUUCCUGGAGCUCAAAUUAUGCAUAUGAUAUCUCGUUUCAAAGCUUGGGAAGUCAGGAGUCCAGUGCUUCAAACGGUAUGUGAUUUGGAGGUGAAAUGAAGAAGUUAUGGUCGUUUGAAGGCAAGCGCACAAAGCUGAACGGGAAUUGCGCAGCCGAGACGCCAUUUGGAAGGGUGUUUCGCAGCUGCGAAACCACUUUUGGCACACGAGUACCAUUUGCAGCACAGUUCCCCUCAUUUCGAAGCUGCGAUAUGGCUGCAAAAUCACCUUUGAGCUUCGAAAUCACUUUUAAGCUGAGAAAUGGGCUGCGAGAAUUCCCCUGCUCUACGAAAUCCACCCCUCGCUGCGAAAAUGCUCCAAGCUUCAAAAAAUGGUCUGUGAACAUGCCACUUUUUCUGUGAAAUGAUCUCCAAGCUUUGAAAUGGUUGCGAAAUCACCUACAAGCUUCGAAAUGGCCUUCAGAUUGCAAAAUUGACUUGCAAGAUGGAGGAAGGUUUGCAAAAACACUUUGCAAAGCCAAGAGAAGUUGCUAAAAUGCCAACAGAGCCUCACAACCAUGUUUCUGAAGAGGAGAGCCCUGCACACCUUGAGAUCACACACACUAAGCCUCUCAUUCCAUUUCUGACCUCCUAAAACCAUCAAAUCCCAUAGCUCCAGCUGAGAGCUCCAGUUGAAGAGACUAUGCCAUCUAAGGAGACUACCUGAACAGAGGCCAAAGUCCUGAUCCAACCCACUCAAGAGGCUACCACAGACGCAUCAGCUCCACAGGACCUUACCAUUGCUUGAUCAUCUUUUUAUUUUUUGGUCUUUACAUAUUAUAUUAGUAUACAUAGCUCCAUGUUUUGAUGUCUUAUAUUCUAGAAUUGGAUGUAUUACUGAUGAUACAUCAUACAUAGACAUCAUUUUUGUUUAAACUUGGCAUUUUUCUAUUUCCUCUACUCACUAACCCUUAUGUUUUCUUUGAAACAUGUGGUUUCUCCUAUAUGACUCAGACUCCAUGUCACUCAAGAGGUACCACUUCCUCCCUAUUUUUUAAUCGCUUUUGUCACAUUGAGGACAAUGUUUAGCUUGGUUGGGGGAAGAGUUGAGGAAGUAAGUAUUGUUAAUAAUGCUAAGUUAUUUUGGUAAUUUAGUUGUUUUUUGCUUAAUUUUAAAUUUUUUAAGUUUUUUUUCUCUACUUUCCAUGGUUAUUAAGGAAAAAUUUUCAAAAUGAAAUGGGAGAAAUUGAAUUUUUGUCUUUUUACUUGACUUAGAUUUUGUAUUAUGCUUAUUAAAGUUGAUGAAUUGUUGAAACUUCUAUUGAAGUCAACCUUAGUUCUUCCACUUUAAGCUAUCCACACACUGUGCACAAUAGGUUUCGAUUAUAAGAUGAAAAACUAUUUCCCUCUUGACUUAGGAAAAUUUUAGACUUGGUACCUUUGACCUCAUUUAAUAGUGUUGGGACACCUUAUAAAAGACCAAUGAGUCUUUGAAAAAAAAAAAGAAAGAAAGAAAAAAUGUUUGCUUGCCUUGAAACCCGAGCAAGGUCUGAGGGGUAUAUGGUGAAAAUCUUUAAAACCUGGUGCCCUAAGCCUUCAUUGGUUGGGAGUCACCGACCUCAAUGCUCGUUACAAGGGUGGAUAGGUGGAGUUUAACAUACUGUAGGUGCUUGGGUAUUAAAAAUUCAUUCUCAAAAGUCCGGGGUGAAAUCCGAGGAGUUAGUGGUUGAAAGAUCCUUAAAGCUUGAUGCCCUAAACCUUAAUUGGUUGGGAGUCAUCGAUGGACCCCCGUUACAUGGACAAUUUAGAAAAGAAUACCUUUAAGCCUUGUACUCCUACAAUGAAAAAAAUUGUGAAAAAAGAGGUGCGUUCUUAGCCUAUUGGAGGUUGAUUAGUUUGCUAAGCUUUGAAAAAAAAAACUAGGUUGGGGGGAGAGAUUAGUUCAACAUACUAUAUUCGGAAGCUAAUAAAUAACACUUAGAUUUUUGUGGAAGAGUAAGGUUUGAUCCUUUGCAAGUGGAAAUGAUUUUAAAGCUUAAAUUUGCAUAAUGCCUUCUCUUUAUGAAUUGUGAUUAGACAAGUUAUUUGAUAACUCUUGUUGAAGUUUGAGUUUUAUUUCUUUAAUGUUCCAUGUGAGAGUUAGAUCAUCAUGCCACUUGAGAAUUGUUUUUUGAUCAGCAUGAUGUUGUAAAUUAUAGUAAUGUUUAUUUUUAUUUUUCUCUCCUUCAUUGCUAAGGGACUAGCAAUAUGUCGGUUGGGGGGAGUGAUUACUACUCAAAAAGUGCUAUUUGAUAGCUUGUAAUUAACUCUUUUAAACACUUUUGAGUAGUAGUUAUUGCCUUUUAACCCAAUUAACAUGUUAAGGACCCUUGCAAUCAAUUCUAAUCAAAUUGUGUUAAGUUUUGGUGUUUUUGUUAGUAAUUUGAUCACCAAAACAAUCCAAGAAUGAGGGAGAAUUGUAUAUAGUUCAUGGCAAAGCUUUUGGAAGCUCAAAUUCAUGAAGAACCAAGCUUUGGAGCUCCAUAGCCCUUUGCCAAAGUCGUUCAAAGUAUGCAAGGAGAGAAGCAAGGAGAAGAGGAAAACAGAGUGAAGAAAACAGAGGACAAGCAGCUGCAGUCUUCAUGCGCACUUUUGGAGCACUUCCCGAAGUCCAUUUUCUACAUUCUAUAUACCAUUUCAAAGCUCAGGAAGUCAAGAAUCUAAUGCUUCAAACGGUGCGUGAUUCGGAGUUGAAACGAAGGAGUUACAGCCAUUGCAAGCAGAUCACUCCAAAGUGUUGCGAAAUCAGCCUUUUGUUGCGAGAAUUUCGCAGCCUUUUUGUACAGUGCUAUGGAAUUCCUCCUGAAGCUACCCGAUACAUGCCGCAAGCUGGAACUCUGAGAACCUCAAGGUGGAAGCCAAUUUCGCAGCCCUGCGAGUUUAACUUGUUGUUGCGAAAAUAUUUCGCAGCCCUCUUGAGUGUCUGCGAAAUCUCGCAGACACCAUUUUCACCUGCGAAAUGUCCUUAGUGCUUCCUGAUAUUUGUGCACCGACUCUUUUAGAUCUUUUCUUCAGAUAUUUUUGUAUAAAUUUCCAUUUUUCUCCUUGUAAGCCACCAACCACAAGAUUUCUUAGCUAGGAAGGUUGGAAAAACUCCUCUAUAUAUAAACUCUCUUGCAUCCACUGUAAAAGGACGCUCGGAGAAGUAUGUAAUAUAGAUAUCAUAUAUAGAAUCAAAGAACAGAGCACUUGCUCUGUUUUUCAUAUAUAUUCUUGUCUUCUCUUUCAUUUUCAUUUUCUAGCCAACCAAACUCUGAGGAUUUUUCCUUAGAGGAUGAGAGGCUAAGCUUUUUGUCUCUUGGAGUGAGGAAAGCCGGGUAAGUUUCCACAUGCAUAAUUUGGAAGUUCUGUUGUUUUAGUUUUUAAUGAAGAGAAAGUGUGACCCGUUAGUGAUUUUUAUCUUUUUAGUUAACUUAAAACGCCUUUAAAUCACCUGGGCCAACACUUGGUAAGGCAAGUGAUCUCCAACCAAGGAGAUGCACUAGUUUACUCCUUGCGAGCCUUUGGGAGGUGGUUUGAAGGUAGGAUUUUCUAGAAUAGCCAACACUUGGUAAGCUUUUGGACUCCAAGGAGACAUCCAUUAGUUAUCUCUUGCGAGCUUUUGACGGGUAAUCCAAUGUUAAAGAUCACCUUGAAUGGCAAGUGCUAGGUGAUAGGUAUGAGCCAUUGCAAGAUGCAUCAGUGAGAGGGAUUUAAUGUUUGAACCCAUUAAUGGGAAGCAUCUGUACAACACCGGUUAGAGAAUUGACUAUAUGUUAAUUCUCUAAUGCGAGGAAAAUAAACAAGUGACCGGAACUCCCUUUUUGUAUGAGGAACCUGAGCCUAGUGAUCUAAACUCCAAGAAACACUUUUCUUUGUAGUUAAAAUCAGUUACUAUUUUUAGUUAGCUUAAAACCAAACCUUUUUCAUUUAAACAUCUUUAUGUUUUCUUUUAAAGCUAACCUUGAAAUGAAAAGGCACCAAUUCAUCUUUGAAUUAAUAUCAAUUGUGAAGUGAAAACCCAUCCCAGUGAACGAUCCUAGAGCCACUAUGCUAUAGUAGUUUUGUCUUUGCUACCCUAGUUCAUGGUGUAAUAGGUUAUAAAUUUUGUUGAUUACUCCCUCAAUCAAAGAGCACCAGCUGGACACGAAUCAGCUGAGACACCAAGUGGGCACGAAUCAAAUGGCGCCGCUGCCGGGGAUCGAACCUCGAAUCAAAUGGUGUCAUUGCCACUGCCGCUGCUAGGGACGAAUCAUGUAUCAGGUGAAGAUGGGACUUACAGUGGCCCAGAUGAGGCUGCCAUUGUUGCGGUCUAGUGCCCACACAAACCCACUUUUCUGAACCGCAAUGACAAUAUCUCGCAUGGUUCCAUUGACAUAUAUGCUCAGCAUCAUUGGUGCCUCCCCAAAGUCAGCAUCUGGGUUAGGACCAGGUGGGCAAUUAGGGGUGGAUAGAUUGUUACAUGCUAAGAACCACGCAUCGUAGCCUCCUAGUUGCCUGUACCACUUGAUCUUGUCGGAGUCUAAAUCAAUAGCCAAGAUGGAAUUGGAGUGGUUAUCAGGCUCAAUGCAUUGGUCAGGUUGAGUAGGGACAGUCUGAUUAUUCUGCUGUUCCUGGCAUUCACGAAUACUUAAAGGAGCUGAAUAUAGGUUACCAGUGGCAACAUAUACAAGAUUUCUUCGGACAUCUAUGGAAGGGCUACUUCCCCAGAUAGCUGCUCCAGCUAGGAAUGGCAACGGGCGGGUUUGGCACGGGUCACCCCUAUCCCAUUCCCGUCCCAAAAUAUUUAGUUAUUUCCCAUCCCAUCCCAAACCCGGGGCGGGGCGAGGCGGGGCAUUCCCAUCCCCGUUAUAGAGUUAAACUUAAAAUCCCAUCCCCGGCCCGGCCUGGCCCAUCCCGACCCGGGUAUGUGUUGUCGGAGCGGGGUGGGGCGGGGCUGGGCUGGGUUGGGCUGGGCUGUGCUGUGCUGUGCUGUGCUGGGCUAUGUUGGGAUGUGCUGGGCUAUGCUGGGCUGGGCUGGGGUUAUUAAUGAAACCAAAUAGUUGUCAAAUAUCUUUCUUUAACAAGAACAAUUGUAAAGCAUUUGAAGAUACCCGCUAACACCAAUGUCCUCCAUGUUAUGAAUGCACCCACUAUAAAGACAAUGAACAACCCAAUAACAAUAAAGAGCUCCAAAGCAAGUAAAUUGCCAAUAAAAGGCUUGAUGAUGAUGAACAAAAAACCAAAUGCCCAUUACAAGCUAUUCAAAUCCAGAUUAUUUUUGGAAGCAAGUUCAAGGAAUAAUACAAAAAUUUAGAAGUAUGGCAUCCACCUUAGCCUGUUUCUCAAACAUUGAUGUGGUCUUAAAACAUUCAUGUAUAGACACCCUAGAAGGAGAAACAUCUACAGCUCCAGAAACAUUGCUUUGGACAAAUUGCGACAUUGUGCUUUGAAUUAUGCACCAAUCAGUGUUCCCAUUGAACUCCAAAGGCAACAUAGAUGAUUCCAUUCUUUCACAAAUUUGAUCAAUUGGAGCCUAAUAGAGCAGACAUCACCUCUAUCGUCAUACCUGUUGAUCAUAAAUCCUAACCAUGAAAUAAUGACACUAGCUUAUCACUGAAAUGAGUUCCAUUGCCAUUCAUAAAUAUCAGCAAGCUUUUCCUAUUGGUAUUAACCCAUAAAAUACCUCAAAGAACCACAACAGAUAUAACCCUCAUUACCUUAAAAACCAAAGCCCUAGGUAGCCCACUUUUAUUUGGUUGUAGAAAACUACUUAUAAGUGUUGUUUUUAUCAGUUUCUAAUGUUUCAACUUUGAUGGUAAAAACUAUCAUUCCUUUACUUGAUUUUGCAUUAGCAUUUUUUAGCUAAUUUGUUGCAUGAAAACCUAACUACGGACUAUAUUCCCAGUAUAAAUUCCAAACAGCAAGACUAAGGAAAUUUAAACAUAAAAAAGAACACACAAUUAUCAGCUGCAGCAAUUGUACUAAUUUUGAAAGGAGAGACUCAUGAAUAUUUAACUUACUGGGACAUAUAGAAAUAGCAGAUAUUAGAGGACCAUAUCUUCCUCUCUUAGGGAUACAUGUUGUCCUUUUCCCAGCCCAAUACAAGCGGAUCUCUAGGGUAUUGUUCGUCACAGUCACAUUAGUUUGUAUAUGACUUCUUUACCAAUUCCAUUUGCCUUCUCCAUGAUAUUGAAAUCCUCCCACACCAACUUGCCCUGAAGUAAAAUGUCCCAAUCAAUAAUUCUCCUUAAAAUAGAUAAAUAUGUUCUUAUGAUAUAGUAACUGGCUACCUGAAUAUAGAUAUUAAAUAUGCGUCUUCCAAGCUUGCUAUAUGCUUCCUCAUCUGUAAAUUCUAUCUCCGCAAAGUGGAGGCAUACAUUGUAAUCUCCAUUUUUCAGACAAAAUCCAAAAUAGGUGAGGGAAAGGGGAACUUUACGUGCUGUCAUGUACAACACUGAGUGAUUCAUUGAGAGGACAGAGGAAUUUGAUUCAAUAUAUUUAUCUUCAUCAUCACUAUCAUCAUCCAUGAAGUCUCCCGUGCUGCUAAAUCCCCAAUUUGUACCGAUAAAAUUUCUUGAUGCACUUCCUCCACCAUCUAUAUCUCCUUCAUACUUGAUGUUCCCAAAGUUAUUUUUAAUAAUUUCAUUAGCUCCACCGUAGUUUAUAUGCAAUGAAUCUCUAGCUGCCACAUAUAGAAGUAUGAUGUUAAUAUCAACAAAAAAUACUAAUACAAUAAUUAUCAUUAUUAUUAUCCUAGUGCCAAAUUCCAACUACCUAGGUUUGGCCAGAUUGAAAGUGCAUAUGUAAACUACACAAAAAUAAAUAAAUAAAAGCUAAUGGCAAUUUUGAUUUUAUUUUAAGAAAUAUAUUUCUGAACUCCCACAGGAAUCUGGAAAUUGAACUUCUUAAUUUUUCUAAAAUAUGUCAAUUUUUAUAAAACAAGGAAUGGAAAUGAAAGUGCAAACUAUUUUAAGAUGUUUCUGGACAAGUUGUUUUAAGGUAAAAUAUUCUCUUUAAAAAAACAAUCCAGAUAUAGGAAACUGGUUCCCUCAACACUUUUUAUCUCACCAUGAUACACUAAGGUUAAACAUACAGAAAUUGACAUCUUUCUCUCUCUCUCACACACACACGCACACACACAACAAAUCCAUAUUGCAAAAUAAACCCAUGGAUCAGAAAAGGAAUUUCAGUGCAGUUCAUUAUUUGUAUGGAAUAGUUAUUCACUUUUUAUCCCAAGUCCAUACUUAUGUUUUGUGCAUCUGGAUCUAGUUGAGCAUGGAAGAAGCCCACUUCUAUUAAACAUAAGGAUCAGAAUAUGUUAGCAUUGUAAGUAGACAAACUACACAAUAUGGAUUUGAUGUUAUCAAGCCAUGCCACUAGAGUAGGAUGAUCUUGACUAUGGAAAAUGUAGUUGAUAGAGAGCAAGCAUUGGCUUUGCAACAUCCAUACAUUAGUUUCUUUUGGGUUCCUCAAUUAUCUAGUUCCCAUGAAAGAUUCCUAUAAGUGGCUGGUCAAUACCUAUGCACAACAUGGUUAAACAUGAGCAGGUAGACCUGGCCUGGCUUGUAGCAGUUGUUGCAGAGUCUCGCAUCAUGAGCAAGUAGACCUGGGCAUGAGCAAUCCCGAGCCAGGUGACCCAUUUUGCCACACAUAUGGCACACUGGAUCAUUAGGACAUUGGCUUGCAAGAUGUCUAGACUCUUUACAGUUCCAACAAAUGGUUGUUGAGUUACACUCAGCAGCUAUGUGGCUACAAAGGAGAACAUAUUAAAUCAGGUUUUUGCCAGAAAUCAGUUUGGUGGGUGAAUCAGGGUUUAAACUAUCUUGAGGAACCACCAUACAUGAUACAUCAACCAAGUAUUGACAUAUUUUAAUUCUAGAAAUUGUUCUCUCAUAAAACAUGAAAUGUUCUAGAGAAACUAGAAGGGGAGGAAUUCAUCUUACCCAGGAAGGCCACAGUUGUUGCAUACAGUCACAUUUGGGCAAUCUCUGGCAAAAUGCCCUGGUCUCUUACAUUUAUUGCAUAGAUAAUCUUGCCUGGAAAUUAACAAUAUAAUUGGUUGUGAAUUGUGAUAAUUUAAACCAAAAGACAGUAGCAACUAAAAGAUCUUGGUUUUAACAAAGGUAGAGUCCACACCUCAAGGAGACCACUUUUGAGAGGAACACAUUUAGAAAAUCAACAUACUGAAGAUAGCAACCUCCAAUGCUGCAGGCUUGGAUUACCACAGACAAUGUUAAUGUGUUUACAAGUAAAUGUUCAAUAGAAUUCCAGAGGGGAUUUCUUUCUCAAUUUUAUCUAUUACAGCAGCUCUUCCAAAUUGUUUAAGAAAAUAAUAUAUUUGUUAGAAAAUAACCAUACAUUGAUUUAGGUAAUCACUCCAAAGCAAGACUCGAGGAUCACAAGCCCUAUCCAAGUUAUUCUCAUCUAUGGUAUUUUCAAUUUCUUCAUCUUCAUGUAUCCUUUUUUAUUUUUUACUUUUGCAUGAAAUUUUGAAGUUACAACAAGAAAGCAUCCACCUAAUUUUAAGCCAUCUACACAUGCAUACACAUUAAGUUCCUAAAUAUGGUGCUUUCCAGAACUAGAUAAGGACACUGCAAUUUUUCAAUAGUUGUAGAGAAAUUAGUCUCUUCAUGUCACCAAUCUGAGGUAGGCAUACACAAUGUGAAUACAUGAUAAAAGCAUAAGUUUUAUCUUUUAGCACUACAAGCACCCGAACAUAAGUGAUUCCUAGCAAUAAGCAAGGCCUAAGAAGAAAGAAAGAAGGAAAAUUGCAUCUAAGAACAAGUGAGAAAUGGAAUAGACAAAAGAACAUAAUCAUCACUAAGAGCACACUUUUCAAACAAGAACCGCAACAUGUAACUAUAACAUUUAUGCAACAUGGGCUAUAAGUGUGUGUGUGUAUAGAUAAAAGGAAUAACAGUUAGAUUUUGCUGAAUUGAUAAAGGAGCAAACCGGUGAACUCGACUAUCCUUUGGGUAAGGUGCGUCUCGGUAAGAAGCACGGUCACUGCUACGAAGCCUCUUGGCUUGUGGUGGGCUUUUGCUUUUAUCUAGAGUCAUACUGGAAACCUGUAAGUAAACUUUCUCAAAUAUAUAACAAAAUGAAAGAUAAAACACAACACUAUUAGGCCCAGGAAUUGCCAACUCUGACCCACCAAAAGUAUCUGCUGCCUGCCUAUAUCACCACACAGCCCAAACCACAAACAUAAAUCUAAGUCAACAUCCAAGAGUUCCAACCCAAAUUACAUUGAACACACUCUUAAAUUCAAUAAUAAUAAUAAUAAUAAUACAUGCACAUAAAAGCAUUAUAUUAAAAGGCAAUGCCAUGACAACAGAGGAAAGAGAGGAAAAAGGGCACAAGCAAGACGUAGGAAAUGAAAAAAAAGAAAAAAGAUGAAUCAAUAAUAUUUUGUUCUCCACAACACGAGGAAAUUAAAAAAAAAAAAAAAACUUAGAUAACUGAGAAACCCAAAAGAAACUUAUGUUUUUAUAUUUCAUUUACUUCAUUUAGCAUUACAAACUGAAUUGUUUUUAUAUAUAAGCUCAAAAUUUGCCUCACUUGAGUUGGAAACCAAACAAUUAACAUUACUGUUCACUGGUUAUAUCUAGAACUUACGACAAAUCUUAAAGAGAAGAAAAGAGUCUUACAAGUUGUACUUCUGAGAUGAGCUUUGGUAGCGAUUUAUAUUUCUAAUUCACAUGAUGAAAAAUCAUGUCAGGGAAGUUAAGCAGUAACUAUAUUGAAUGCUAUGCUUAUGAAUAAAUCUACUUACUGAAUUUCUUGGCAAUCAACCGGCCAAGUAAAAUUAUUAUAGGAAAGAUCACUAUGAGAAGAAACAAAAUGAAUAUCAUAUUCCAGACAAUGAGAAUAAAUGGAAUGCAGAAAAGUUAAUGAGAUUAGAAGACUAAAUCAGUAUGACAUUCAAAAUUAACAUAACUGAAAUAUCUGUAAAAAAAAAAAAGUACUUUCAUAGAAGCUAAUAGCAAUUGAUGUUUCUCUUUCAAGAAAUGGACAUAUUUUUCUUUAUAUCUUAAAUUUUAAAGAUUCUUUUGUAACUUAUCCAAAAUUUGCUUUAAAGGAUAGAAAUUUUAAACAUGACUAAAAUGAUGUUUUAGAGAAUUACUUCCAAUAAAAAACUAAAGAUGAUAGAUUCUAGAGGGCCCAAGCAGAAUCUGAAAGAGAAGAUUCCAUGAACACUAAGACAAAUGGACUCGUAAUGGACCUGAUUGAAGUCCCCCAUAUGACACAAAACUACAGCAAAAAGGUUGUAAGCUCCUGCCGUCAUUCGAUGGUAGGGACCACAAACUGAGACCAGUUUUGCCAGAACCUGCAAAAACCACAAAAAUACAAAAGGUAGCAUAUUAAUUUACCAAUGAACAGGCAAAGAAAGAUUUUUCUGCUGCACCCGAUUGGUAGUUUACAUAUAGAAAUGACAAACCGAUGGACUUUUAAAUCAAAUACCUUUGUCCCAUAGCUGACUGCAUCUUCAAGUUUUCCCUUAUCUAUAGUUGUUUUUUAUGAUUCUAGAAGUUGUCGUCCAUCUGCAGAUGAGCAUGCUGCUUGCUAAAAAGAAAAAGAAAUGCAAUUAAAUCCAGAUUAUUGAAUGAUUUAAUUAUUUGUAAGACAAGAUAAGAAACAAUGUGUUCUAUUCUUCUAUCAAAUAGCAUAGUUUGUUCAUCACCUUAUGCACUGGUACCAAGCUAAUAACGUCAAGUUUUUGGAAAGGGUAUGGAGAAUCCAUAUCAAAAUCCUUUGGAACUAGCUCAAUUCCCACCUGAAAAAGAAAGAGGCAGAAUCGUCAGCCCUCAUUUCCACUGUGAGCAAGAAGACCUGUUAUCCAUGAGUUUUUCCUAAGCAUUACAAAUAUUUGUUUUAAUAUAUUUCAUUUCUUGAUAGGAUUUUCCCUAAACUAGGAAAGAAAUUAAUUUUGCUUUUAAGAAUAUAUAUAUAAUUGCUGCCCAUCCAUGAUAUAAAUAUCCUAAGUAAGUUCUUAAUUCUUUUUCCAUUCUCUCAACACAACUGAAGCAUUCUUCAAAUUUAUAUAAAUAAGUUAUUUAAAAUAACCCAUGAUAUAAUGUUUAAAAUCAUAAAACUACAAAACCCACAUAUCCAAUAUAAAAGAAUGUGGGGCAUGCUCAAAGUUUUGGAACACAAAGGCCAAUUCCAAAAUACCUUAUGACAUAAUCCCCGUAGAACUGCAAAUUUCCGCACAUCUUUUUAGUUUAAUGUGCUAAAAUCCCAUUCAUAUCGCUUCUUGAAGAAUACCUCCAACCAUCUCCACACAAGGGAAUGAGCAUUGCAUGACUGAUUUAAUUCUCUAUUUCCAGGAACCCCAAGCAUCAGAUUCAGUGCAACACCUAUUGACAUAGCCAAUUUCUCAGGAAUAACAACAACAGCUAUUAUUGCCUGCAGAAUGUGCUUAAAAGCUCGCACUAUCAUCUCAUGAAUAUAAAGUGACUGUAGUUACAAUAAAAAGAAAUAAUGAACUGUUUAUUCAGGCAUAGGAGAUGAACUCUUACAUUGUGGAAUGACACAUUAUCCUUGCCCAUAAACUGGUACAGAUCCACAUUUUUAGGGUUCUUCCACCACUUUUCCCACUCAGGUGUAUAGCAUGCAGUGAUUGAGACAUAAAAUGUGGUCACAACAUAAGUAUAUACAAAAUGCACUUCAUUUUCUUCAAUGCAUUGACAGUAUAUGCAAUAUAUGGACAUGAUAAGAGAAAAAAAUGAUAGGUGGAUGAAUGAAAAAUCAUAGCAUGAGAUUGUUUGGAACUUAAAAUGUUAGAGCAUAAGGUAUACAUACAUAAAUUAAUAUAAUCUGAAAAUCAAUUACCUCUAACAUAUUAGCAGAGAAAUUGAAUACUGUAGGUAGUGCUCUGCCUCCUAUAUAUGCUUCUGCAUCCACUAUUAUAUGCUCAAACCGAACUUCAAUGGUUGGAAUAUCAAGUCCAACUCUGUUUUAGGCAAUUAGAAACCAACAUAAAUACAUCAUACAAAAAGGCUUCAUAGAAAAUAAGAAAAAUAAAAUAACUCAAAAUUCCUAAAUCCCCUUUAACUAAGCUGGACUUAAAAGACCUGUUAAUGGCCUUUGGACUAGGCUGACCAGACCCACUUCCUAUAACACAGGAUGUCAAUCUAAAAUAAAAGACCAGGUUCAUUUGAGAAUUUGUACCUUCCUUUUCAACGCAUUGUUGGCUUCAAUUAGCAUAUGUUCCUGCACCCACAUUUCCUUACAAGGACUCUACCUUGCAAGUCUUGAACUUGAUUGUAAAGAAUGUGGUUCUUAGUUACAACCAUGGUAAUUAACAUCAUAUAAGACAUGCCAAAAUAUAAUAUCCAAAAUUAAAAUAUAUCCAUAAGCUUAACAACAUUGAAAAAAAUAAAAAAAAAAAGACAUUACAAAGAAAUUGUUAGCAAAAAAGAAAGAAAAAUGUCUCUAACAUCAUCUUAAGUAAAAAAUCUAAAGCACAAGUAAAUCAUCAUUUUCAUCCAUCAUUGUGAGUUGGGGUUGUGAGUCAUGAAUUGAUAAAUCACCUAGUAAAAAAAAAAAACACCAAAAAAAAUAUUAGAAAACUUUACUAAAUAUUUUAAUAAAAAACAAUUCAUAAAAUUGAUAAUUAUGUAAAUCGGUUACCUUCUUUUUCCUUCCAUAACCAACUUUGAGCACACAUUAAGGCCUCCAAAGUAUCUGGAUGAAGCCUACUGCGAUGUUUUGAUACCACCCUACCACCCGUGCUAAAGGCUGACUCAGAUGCAACUGUAGAUACCAGAAUAGCAUAGAUAUCACGAACAAUCAUCUACAAAGUCGAAUACUUUAUACCAUUUGUCUUCCACCAACUUAAAACAUUAAAAUUUGAAUUCCUUGGCAGAAUAGACUCCUCUAAGUAAUAAUAUAACUCCGACUUCGUAUGACUUUCUCCAAUGGUACUAUGAACAAAUAAGUCAAACUUUGAAAGAGGAUCUUGUUCAUCAUAGUUUAACUCCAAAAGAGUUGAAUCUGAUGAAGUACCAUAGGAUGAAGUUUUUUGCCCCAAAUUAGACUUUGAUUGAUACUCAGAAAGCAACUCAUAACACAUUCCACAGAUUUUUUCUAUCUCAUUUGAAGCUUCAGACCCAUACAUUAGUGGAAAGUAAAACUCUAAAAUCUUUAUCUUGUAUCUUGGGUCAAAUAUAGCUGCUAUUGCCAUCACAAUAUGACACCCACUCCAAUAUUUGUCAAACUUUUGCAACAUACUUGAUGCCAUCGUUUUCACAACAUCAUUUGAGCAUAUCAACCAAUCAUAUAAUGCCUCUUUGAUUUCGCACACUUUGAUGAAGAAAGUAUUUGCAGUGGGAUAAUUUCGUCCUGAGAACAACUCUGUUAUGUUGUAAAACAAUUUCAAUCUUCCACAUAUUUCCUUUGCCAUAUUCCAUUCUUCCUUUGAUGGCACAACCAUGUAGUAUUUUUCACGUUGCUUCAAACAUGGGAACACAUCUUUAUAUGUUAUAGCAAUUGAUAACAUCAAGUAUGUGGAAUUCCAUCGUGUCUUACAAUCAAGACUUAACUUCUUAUUGCAUGGAAUACGCAAUUGGCGAGCUGCAUCUUCAAACUUUUCCAUUCUUGAUGGGGUUGCUGACCAAUAUGCAACACUCUCACGAAUUUUUUCAAUUUCUACUUCAAUGACAUCCAAACCUUCCUUAACAAUUAAGUUCAACACAUGUGUCGCACAUCGCAUGUGGAAAAUUUUUCCAUUCAAUAAGAGUGAAUUGCUCAAAGAUAAUUUCUCCACCAAGAUAUUGAUCAUUCUGUCAUUACUUGAGCAAUUAUCCACAGUGAUUGUAGAAACUUUUCUAUCCAUAUUCCAAUCCAACAAGAAAUCCAUUAAUACAUUUGAAAGAACUUCUUUUGUGUGUGGAGGAGGCACAUAAACAAACCUAAAUUAAGAAUAAAAAAUAUCAUUAACACAAACAAUAUCAUUAAAGGAUCAAAUAAAAAAACACUUUGGAAGUUAAAAAAAAAUAACAUAACUAACCUUACAAUAUGAUGGUGUAGUAACCAAGACUCAUCAAUGUAAUGUACAGUGAUAGCCAUGUAGCCUUUCUUUUGAUUUGAUGUCCACAUAUCAGUUGUGAUAGCAAUUCUACUUUGAAGUUUCUCUAUGUAGCUAAUCAUCUUAUCUUUCUCAACCUCAUAAAUCUUCAUUAUAUCACUCUUAAUCGUAUUGCGGGAAACCAUCUUAAACAAGGGUUGGAGACUAGUAGCAAAUUCUCUAAACCUCACAUGGUCAACGAUUGAAAGUGGGUACUCAUGCAAUAUAAUUGCACGUGCAAUCUUCUCUCUUGAGAUUUCUUGAUCAAAGGUAGAACCACCAAUUUGAACUUUUCCAUGACCUUUUCUUUCUACUGCCAAUAAUUGUUGCCUAAUAUCAACAUUUCUUCGUUUCAUGCACCUAUCUAUGUGUACAUGUAAGUGUUUUGUUCCAUUCUUGCUAUCGGCCUUAAGCUUUCCCUUACAGUGCUUACAAAUAGCAUAAUCUUGUCCAUCUUCUAUGAUUUUAUCAAAAUCAUUCCAAACAACCGAAGUCAACUUUCUUCUUUUAGAUACCAAGGUUCCAUCAGUAGUUGAAGUACUGCCUGUAAUUGGAGUUGAACCCGCACUUGGCAUGGAAAAGUUUUCCCCUUCUUCUGAUGUCAUUUUUCUUAAUAUAAAAUAAAGUCUAUAAGUAAAACAUUCAAACCUAAAGUAAUAACCUAAAGCUUGGAUAUGGCUUGAAGCAAGGGCUUAAAAGGCAAGAUUGUAUUUAGGUUAACCUCCAAGAAUUGCAAGAUGUCAACAUAGUUUCCAUUAAUAGGAAAAUAAAUGUAAUAGAAAAGCAUCGAGGGCAGUGCAACCGAAAGACACAUGUAGUUUAUAUGGACAACCCACAGCAAAUGAGAAGAAAAUAAAAAAAAAAAACAGAAAACAAAGCAAACAAAGAAUAUUCUAAAAAGUAAUAACCAGAAAACAAAACAAAACCUUGAAAUUAGGAAAAUUUAACCAACAUCAAAACUAUUAACAGACAAAAUUUGCAAAUCAAAUUCUCUAAAGACAAAAGAAUUUUAGGGAAGAAUAAUUCUAUAUUGAAUGGCACAAUAUGGAGACCACUAGCACAAAACACAUACAGCUGAAAAAUAUUGAAUAGGAUUUAACAUGGAAGCAAAAGUGGCAGUUUCAUAAAAAUUAAACAAGGGCAAAUGACUCAUUUGUAAUAGUUACUAGUAAAAAGCACAUGAAUAUUAGUGUCACUAGAUUGUAUCUUAGUGUGAUACACACUAGAAAUGGGUUCAUUGAUGGAAUACAUAGUAGAUGUUCAGAGGGAAAAUAAGCACUAGUUAGAGAAAACAAGAUUCUUUUUCCCUAUUCUCAAGUUUAAUGAAUUUAUCAAUUGGUUUGCAGGAUGCACUUAGAGAACUCUGGAGCUUAGCUUAUCCUGGUAGGGAGCUACCCUCUCUUAAGUCAGAGCUCUGGAAUGAGAUGGGUUGGCAAGGUACUGAUCCAUCGACAGAUUUUAGGUGGGUAGAGGACUAUAUAUAAAUAUCUGGUAUUUACAGACUUCUCUCAUGUUCAUGUGUAUUAAUGUGAAUUUGGUCAAACACAUUUUAGGGGUGGCGGAUUUAUAUCAUUGGAGAAUCUUAUCUUUUUUGCCAAGAAGUAUCCAGUUUGUUUCAUGUUCUUUCUUUCCUUUUCCUUCAAUGACAUCACUUGAAUUUUUUCCCCCUCAUUUUAAGUCACGAGUAUUUGGAGAACAGUUUGAGUGGUUUAGUAGUUGAGUAGGUAGAAUAAAGUUUCUUUGAGUAGUUGCAAUGCCCUAGUCCAUGUUCCAGAAGGUGUGGCUAUGAUCUUGGAAAAAUCAAAUAUGGACUGGUUGAAUAUAAAUUAGUCAUUGUUACAAAAGUAGAUCAGUGAGAGCUUUAAAAUUCAAAAUUGCAUAAAAAUGCACAUAGAUUUGGUUCCCUUUAUGUUUUGCAUGAUAUAAAACUUUUGGAGCGUACUUUGAGAUAACUAACAUUCCAAGAAUCAUUAUACAAAUUAUCAUGAGGCCAUGCAAAUAAAUUCUAAUUUUUCAGGAUUAUCUCUUCCUUUAGAUCCGCCUAAGUUUUUGUGCUAUCAUAAUAUGGAAGCAACAAGAAUGCAGAAUUCCUCAAUGCAUUUCUAGAGUCAAACAAAAUUAAACUUUCAUAUAACCAGUAGAAAAUAAAUUUGCCUGUAGAGAACAUAAAAAAUGUCCAAUUGCACAUUCACAACCUCAUACUUCACAUGAUAAAGAACUGAUAUGCAAAUUAAACAACCAUUUGGUGCUGGAUAAGUAAUCCUGGUGAGAAAGAAGCAAGGGAAUAAUGCAAGGAUCAAUUGAAUUCUCAUAGCGCCUAAACGAUUAUGGUAUUUUUGAAAAAGGAGAGACUUCAAAUCUCAUCCCAAUUAUUAUAAAGUGCAAGUAAAAUAUGUAUAUAUAUAUUGAACCAACUAUUGAAAUUCAUGAGAAUUUGGCAUGACUAAGCACUAAAUCUGAAGUCCUUAUCUGCCACUUUCUGUUAAGAAAGUCCUAAUAUCCAGAUGAACUUUAUAAAUAUAACAAAACAAAUCAACUUUGUGCUUGUUUAGAUAAACUUCCCGUUUUCUGUUUUUGAAAUAAGAAAAUAGUGGUAACUUUUAUAUAAAAUACAAAAACACUUAGAGACUUACAUUGAAAAAGUAAUACUUUUAAAAACUAUUUAAUUAUUUGAAAAUGAUUUUUAAAAAUAAAAGGUAAAUCUAUACUUUUUGUACAAGAUGUUUUAUUUCUAUAUAAAAGUUUUUGAUUUUAAAAACAAAAAACAACAAGUGUAACAAACGGACAUUUUUAAUCAAAUGCAUGUAAUGAUCAGGAUGUCUCAUUAGAGUGAUUGGACACUUUGUAAUCAAAUGCAUCUAAUGAUCAAGGAGUCUCAUUAGAGUGUAUAAUCUAUAUUUUUUGUACAAGAUGUUUUAUUUCUAUAUAAAACUUUUUGAUUUUAAAAACAAAAAACAGGAAGUGUAGUCAAACAGACACUUUGUCAUCAAAUGCUUGUAAUGAUCAGAAUGUCUCAUUAGAAUGUAUAGAUGCUCUAGUGACAAGUAUAUCUCUUCUUAACUUUGUUAAAUGCAUCUUUAUCCAAGCAUUAUGAUUCAAUGACAGGGAGACAUCCCCAAUUUUCCAUACCCCGUUUUUUGGCUCAUACAUUAUUUAUGAUUUUCGUUUGUCAUAUUUAUUUCUUGACAUGAGGCAGCUAAAAACCUUUUUCACUUGUUAGUUCCAAGUAUUGUUCUUUGUUUAUUUUGGUGACAUUGUUCUAUACAUUAUAAUCUACUCACCCUCAAAAAUGGAUUCAUUCAGGGAUAAAGAUUCAACUAAAUUAAUUCUACAUGGAUGAAAUUUGUGACUAUCAGAAGGGAAGGGUACGUAUAAAAAAUUCCAUAAAAUCGGAGUUCCAAUUCCAAUAGAAGGACUUGUAUUACAACAUUAGAUGAUAAAUCUUAUAAAACUCAAUAGUUCAGGACCCAGGAUGACCACGUAAUUUCAAGCAAUCAAAUGCCAGUUUGAUACUUUCUAACAAUUCAAUCUUUACUAGUACUCAUAACACUUUCCUUCAAGGACGUUUGUAAAAAGCCUAAUUCAAUAUUGUAAAUAAUCAAUAUCUCAUUUUAUCAGUAGCGUUAGUACUCACAGUGUCCCAAAUAUGCAGAAAUUUUUAUCCUUCUGAAACAACCACUCAAUGCUUUCAUCCAUGUCAUGACAUAUCAUAUCAUAGCUUCAAAUUUUUGGAUGCUCUAGUUUUGUUCACAACUAGAUGCCCAAAAGAGUUAAGCUAAGAACUUCAAUGAAUAACUACAUAUUUGGUAUUUAGGGAUACUUACGUACUUCGUUAUUCUGCUCUUAAUAUGAAACCCUAGAAAAAUUUGACGAUAAGAUCCGUUUCUCAAUAUGAAGGGAGUGGAAGCAUUUGACUAUAAGAUCUGCUUAGUCCCUAUUAAGAUUCGCAAGAAACAGAUUCAAAACCCUAAAUAGCAACCCGAAAACUAAUAGAAAAAAAAAAUCAUUCAAUAAUAUGAAACUGGAAAUGGAAAAAUCCUAAAUCUCGUAUCUCUUUCCCGAAUUAGAAACGGACUACAAUGCCAAAUCAAGGCAUCAUUCAACCAAAAAAUCAACAAAAAAUCUUACCGGUUUGUAGAUACGUGAAGAUAAUAGUUGUGAUUCUUGAUUUCUUGUGAAUAUGGGAUAAACAAGGAUUAAUCGAGAGGAGAUAGAGGAAAUGAGAUUAUUGAAUGGAUUUUCGAAUGGAUUAUCUGAUGGAUUUCUCCAUUGAGUGGGAGGAAAAACCUUAGCGUCGACAGGAACGAGAACUGAGAGAAGAGGACCUAAAAUGAGGAGAGGAAGCUAAUAUUUAUAAGUGGAGGGUAAAGUUGUAAUUUCAUAAUCGGGGCGGGGUGGGGUGGGUCAAAUUAACUACACCCGACCCCACCCCGAACCCGAUUCGGGUUUUUAAAAAAAGCCUGAACCCGGCCCAUCCCCGAUUGCCAUGUUCCUAUACCCGUCCCAAUAGGGGCGGGUCGGGGCGGGUUACCCGGGAAACCCGCGAAAUUGCCAUUCCUAGCUCCAGCAUACUCUCCUCUCUCGCCAUGAUUAUCCGGCAAAGUGAAGGUCUGCCACAAUAGAGCACCGGUUUUGAUGUCUAAUUUAGAGAGGCUACCACGGAAAAUGCAGCAUUGUUCAAUGCUGAGGCCUUCUUCUAGUGAAGAUGUUCCAACAUAGAAGCUCCUGUACAUAAAAAAAUGUUACUGAAUUUCAUAAUUAUGUUAUUGUAUAUACGAUCAUGCAAUCCCCUCUUACAACAGCAGCCCACAAAUUUUACAUUUUCCAUAACCGUAAAAACUCUUUUUUUCAACCAUCCACCUAGGCAAUAUUCCAAUCAACAACUCUUAAAGAAAUUUUUUUUUUUCAGUUAGAAAAAUGGAAUAAUUACUUGUGUACCCAAAUAAAGUUAAUAAACUACUAUAAUGCAGAUGUGAACUGCAGGCUUAGAAUACAAACUAGGCUUGACUUUUGACUCAGAAUUUGAACUUUAAUUAAGUGUACACAAUCAUAAACAUAUCAUUAGAGACUAGUGAUUUUAAUGGAUCCAUGUUACUGACACUUCAUGAAGAUAUCCAUAUCCAAACUAGUCAUGUUACUGUUCUGUUUUUGGGGUAGGUACGUAACUAGGUGAAAUUAAUUUAGACACCUGCCUAACCUCUUCUGUACAACCCAUAGUUGAGUUUUAGAGUCAUGCAAGGGAGGAUUAAUCAGAUAAUCCUCAUGCUUUGAUGCUGAAAAAUCUCAAAGAACUACAACUUGAUUAACCACAAAAAGUUAAUGUCUAGCCAUAUGCUGAUUAAACAUAUGCCAGCAAUGCAGUUGACAAAUUUAUUGUGUUUAUCAUCGUGCAAACGAUCAAUCUAUAUAUAUAUACAUUAUGACAUAAAUUUCUUAAGUUGGUAUAGAUCGACCAUACUUUUCAUAUAGGCCAUUGACUUUGCCUUUCAUGAGUACCACACACUAUAUAUAUAUUGGUAUCCUGAACCCCAAGAAGGGAUGUAUGUUGACUUUCAUCAAUAUAUGUAGAGAAAAGACUAACUUUUAAAUUAACAUAUUAAGUAUAAAUGGCUUAAAAUUUGUUUGAAUCUCAAAAUAAAUGAAUUGAGAAUUUGAGAGAGGAAAAGGAAAUGAUAAAAUAAAAUUAUUGAAAGCAAGGUCCUAUGUCAAUUUAUUUUCACUCUUCUUCCUUCCAUCCAUUAAUUGUUAAUUAAGAAGAUGCAAAGAGGGCAUGAGAGUUGCUUACCCCAUGUGAAAGGUUUCAGACAUGGUAACAACACCUGCAGGAUUGCUAUCAAGCUGAGUGGACCACACAAGCCUUUCUGUGGCUUGCUUCACCGCAAUGACAACAGCAGGUCCAUAGAUUCCAAUAAUAAGCAUGUCACCGGCUAUUGUUGGAGUUGCUCUAGACACUGUCCAGUUGACAUUAUUAACGAAUCCAGUUGCAUUAAGACCAGUUAGCUUCUGCAGGUUCUGCUUCCAUACAAGUGAUCCAUCUGAUGCUUUAACCGCGUAGAGGUACCCAUUCCAGCUUGGGAAGUAAAGGGUACCAUUGAAGAUUGCUGGUGUAGCAGUUAUGUCUUUCCCUGCAUAGAAUUCCCACUUCAAACGAAGUUUGGAAGCAGUUUCAGGGCUGAUUUUGGUUUCGGUGCUGGCAUAUCUUCUGUUAUACAAAUCUCCUCCAUGGUUUAACCAUUCUGCUGGUUCUUUCUGUGAGAACUUGUCCCUCAUACUAUCCCACUGGAACCAAAUUAAAAUACGGAAAUCAAGUUUAGAUUAGUGCACGCCGUGACAUCAAAACAAAAAAUAGAUUGUAAGAGCUAGUACUUACUCUCGAAUCUGCACAAGCUGUGAUGGUAAGCAGACAAAACAUACAUAGAAAAAGCACAAAAGGAUUGUUGUAGAAUCCAUGGGGCGCCAUGGAAAUGGAAUUAACUUAAGUAAUCUCAAGAGAUUUAAGACUCUUCUUCAUUCAUGUAUCUUAUAUAAAGAAGUUGGAAGGCUUCUAAAAGUCUCAUGUUUGACUUCACUACAGUGUAUGUAUAUAGACAUGCAUUCACUGAUUUGAAGGAUUGCUAACACCAAAAAUUUCUAGUCUUAUCUUAAAAAAUGUUCCAGGUCAAUGACAGUAGAAUUUGCAAUGAUAUGUUAUCCCAUCAAACUAAGUUUUGUUAACUCGUAUGGCGACUCUAAUACUUCUCAAAUUCAAUCUUGAUUCUUUUGUUUGCUUGUUCCUAAAGAUUAAUUCUAGUUGCGUAUUAAUAAGUUCUGUUGACUAUUAUUAAUCGAUAAUAUCUUUUGAGUCUGAUACCUGUCACAAAAUUCUAACAAAGAUUAUUGUAGAAAGAUGUACGCAUUGGUAAUCAGUUUAUUAAUCUUUCAAACAUGAUUUGAAGAUUACUUUUGCAUGUGUCAUUUACUAUUCCUAUUAGCCUAAAUCAUGGUUUUGACCAAACAACCGGCUGCCAACAUCCUCAAAUCACACGCAACCUUGCCCUUUUUGCAUUCAGACAUCCUCCUGAGAAGAGGGUUUAGAUCCCAUUUCAAUGUCCCAUUUCUAUUUGUUGGUGUAUUUUAUGAUUCAUCAGUAUUGUUGCUUUGGGUUUUGCCUACUUUUUGGUAGCAAAAAUGAGCUAGAAAAGAGAUAAUUAAAUUGUAUGGAAUGUAUAAACUCAAGGGGAUUUCACUGUGAAUGUCUUACUAAUUGGCGUGCAAGUAUUGUCUUGGUUGUUCAAAAGAUUUUUCUUGCUUUGUAACAUUUCCAUCUCUUGUACUUAAAAUCUCUUCUCACACAUAGAUCCACAUAAUCGAUACCCUCUGUUGAUGUAUGGGAAAAGCAAGUGCUAAUUUCAGCAAUACAUGUAUGUAGCUAUUGCCAUCACUUCAUCAACCGCUGAAAUUCAAUAGCAAAGGUCCCGGAUACAUAAUACACUUUAUUUUCUAUGGAAAUUAUAAGAUAAGGUGCUUGCUCUUGGAAAUAUAUGAUAGUUUCACAUUCCCCAGAUCAUAAUGCCCAGUUUCAUGUGACACAGAAGGCUAACAACGAGGUUCCAGCAGUACAGGUUGGUAUCAAAUUGUAUCCACUGCCGACAUAAAUGCAACCAUUACUCAAUGAGGCACCUCCAUACACAGAGGCACCCGUGUUAUAUGACCAUAGAAUUUUUCCAAACUCGACUUCCAUUGCAUAUACUGGGCCUUAUGGGUGCGUUGAUCCAGCAAAUAGGACACCAUGAGCCACAGUCACCGGGCCACUGGCCGUGGCAUUACUAGGAUUGGCCGUGGACCAUAGGAUUUUGCCAUUGUCGGUAUCCAUGGCCACCCAUCCACUAGCAGUUGUGAUGUGUUUCGACGGUAAGAGAGUGAAGUUCUUUCCAGCAUUAUUAACAAUGUUGGUGUAGACCCUCUUUCCAUCUGUGGCUGCCCCCCAAGUGCCUCCUCCCAUUAGGCCACCAGGUCCAGCCCCUCCUGCAAGUCAAAGCCUUUAUGGUUAAGCGGAAACCAAGAAUUCUCCAUACCAAAGAGAACUUACUGUGUACUAGACCAGGAUGCCAUUAUCGCGAUCUAAAGCCCAUGCCAUUAUUGUUCAAAUAUACGCUCAGCAUCAUUGGGGCUUCCCAAAAUCAGCAUCUGGGUUGGGGCCUAGAGGGCAAUUGGCGGUUGAAAGAUUGGUACAUGCUAAGAGCCAUACAUCAUAGCUCCCCAGCUGCCUAUACUGUUAUCACCACCCCAUGUCGUCUCCACGUUCACCACCAUGAAGGGGUGAUUCUGAAGUGGUCACACCCACGUCCUCCACCAUAAUCGCACUUUUUCCGCUGCAUUAAAGGAGGGUGUGGCAAAUCUGCAGAGACGUGGUAUGAUGGGAAGCCACGCAUAUAUAUUUCACAUAUGGUCCCGAACUCGUGAUCUACUGUUUUUCUUUCUUCAGUAAUACACCAUCCAUAGGAGAUCAUCAGAGUUUGGAAACUGAUUACAGCAACUUGAAUCAAUGGCUGGAGGUAAGUAGACUAUGCCUAGUCUUUUACAGAUUCAGUUCAUCUUGCAAGUGUUAAUUUUGAUUUGAAUGUAUCAUAUGAAUUUCUCACAUUUGGUAUCAGUGCAUGAAAAUCUUGCCUCUGCCUUGGUAUCUAUUUUGCUAGAGAAUUGUUUUUUUAAUGGUUUCUCUUCUUUGUAAGAUACUAUCUAUAAGUUGAUCAUGCUUUAAAAAGAGCAAAUAGCUUCAGCCUUGCCACCACAUAUCACAGGCCUUCAUGGCGCUGAUCAUUGCCGCCAUUUAGGCGCCAUUUUAAGGCGUUCCGAAAGCGCAUUUUCGGUGCUGUUUUGGGCUGUAUUUUCAGCCACUGCGGGCACCAUAUUUAGGCGCCAUUAAAGCACUGAUGCUGGUGCUAGUUUCAAGGGUUGCAGGCGCCCAUUCAGGUGCUAUUUUCAGCCCAUUUCAAGCGCCAUUCAGGCGCUAUUUAAACGCCGCUGCUGCUGCUAGUUCAGCCGCUGCAGGCGCGACUUAAGGUGUUCUAAAAGCGCAAUUUUUGGUGCUUUUUGAGGCUGCAGUUUCAGCAGCUGUAGGUACCAUAUUCAGGCGUUGUUCACAGUGGCUGCUGAUUCCGUGAAAAUCCAGUCGGGUCUUUUAAUCAAAAACAUUUAUAAAACCUAUGACCUCAUACUAGCGUAGCAAAGCUACUAUAGCAUAGUGGUUCUAGGGUCGAACUCUGGGAUGAGUUUUCAUUCUACCAGUGAUAUACUCAAGAUUAGAAAUUGAAUUUGGUGAUUUCCUUUGUUAAAAACUUUAAGUUUAAAAGAAAAUAAAAUUUGUUUUGAAAGGUGUUUGAAACUAAACUAACAUAAAACUAAGUAAAAAUGGAAGAAAGAAAGUUUCCCGGAGUAGAGGUUGCUAGGAUCAAGUUCAAAAUGCAAAGUGGGAAAUUCCGGAUUUUUCUUCUACAACAGCAUAAAGGAUGGUUGUUUCCCGAACCGGUAUAGGUUUAACAAUGAAGAUUUAAUCCAUAAAAAGUCAAUAGAAAUGGUAGUCAAGUUCCAUUAAUGGCUUUAGACACUGUGGGUCUUCACCUUGAGCCACAUUCCAAUGGCUCGUACAUGAUAACUAAUGGACUGAUAUCGAUCUAGCAAUAAGCAUCCACAGAGACCUGAAGCUUACCAUGUAUUGGCCAUUCAAAGUGAUUCUAAGGGAUUUAAAGCAAAACUUUAGAUUUAAAAGCCAUUUAUGAACUCCAACUACCUGUAUUUAAUGCACGAGAGUUUUCCACUUUAGCAUUUGGACUUUUCACCUAGCUUCCUUUACUCCAAGAAACUAAAAGUUUAGCCUCUCAUCCUCUGGGAAAACAUAGUCAGAGGUUGUUUGGCUUCCAAGAAAAAGAAAAUAGUAGAGAGAAAAGGAAAACGAGAGAGCUCUGUAUUUCACUAAGUGUAAAAUGUAACAUCUUGUCGAGAAAUGAUUUCCACCCCUCUUAUAGUCUUUACAAAAGCAAAGCUUGUGAUUGGUUAGUUACAAGGAUAAAAAAGGAAAUUACAUAAAAAAAAUACAUAAGAAAAGAUCUAAAGUGGAGUCAGCAAAAACAGAGGAGAAUUCACACCACGCAUGGGCUGGUGCGAAUUUCGCACAAGCAGGGGUGUUGUGCGAAUUUCAAGGUGUUGUGCGAAUUUGGAGCAGUUGUCUUCCAAAGGCCAUAUCUUCCUCAUUUCAGCUCCAAAUCGUACACAGUUUGAAGCGUUGGAUUCUUAACUUCUUGAGCUUUGAAAUAGUAUAUAGCGUGUAGAAAAUGGACUUCGUAAAGUGCUCCAAAAGUGCGAAGGAAGAUUGUAGCUGUUGUCCUCUGUUUUCUUCACUUUGCUUGUUUUUCCUCUUUGCUUUUCUCCUUUACUUGGCUUGUCUUAAUGAUCCAAAAAGCUGUCAAAACACUAAAAAUAGCCACAAAUAUGAUUAGAAGUCAUUACUAGGUCCUUAACAUGCCAAUUGGAAUAAUGAUGAAGAACUACUACACAAAAGUGCUUAAAACAUAAUGAAUUAAAGGUGCAAAAUAACACUUUUUGGGUAGUAAUCAACUGCUAGUGCUGGUUUCAAGCGCUUUAGGCGCCCAUUCCGAGCACCAUUUAGCAACAUUCUGAGCAUCAUUCAGCCCUCAUUCCAAGCCUGUGAAUGAGGGAAUCGGGCUGCACUCCGGUGGAUGCAGCCCAUCCCAUUGGCUGCGACAUGCAUGGCGCUGUUGGGGAUGAAGCAGUCCACGGGUGGCAGAAAAUUAGGAAGAUGGGUUUGUGUGGAGAACCUAGAGAGAGAUUGGAUUUCCAAUGAAGCCCACUAACGAAAUUGGGCUCAUUAGUUAAAUGAAUGGGCAGUGACCCAUUUUACAAAAUUAAGGGCUUUGGGUAUUAAAAAAAUGGUAAUUGGGCUCAUUAGUUAAAUGCAUGGGCAGUGGCCCAUUUUACAAAAUCAAGGGCUUUGUGUAUUGGGCCAUGAAUUAAAUAAGAAAUUUAGGCCUAUUUAGGUUCUAAUGGCCCGGUCAUGAAUUACUUUUUAUUGGGUUUUGAAUUGAUUAAGUUUUAUAUGGAUUUAGGCACCCUUUCAUAAUCUAAAAUCCUUUAAAAUUAAUUCUGAAUUAUAUGUGAUCCUUUAUACAUGCAUAUUAAAUCAUUAAUUUUAAUGUUUGUAUGUAUAAAAUGUAGCUUAAUCUUGUGUUAUAUAUAUUAAAUGUUGUAGCUAUUGAUGCAUGCAAAUUUUAUCUAAAUUGUAUAAGAUAUAUUAAAAUAUAUAUAUCAUAUAUUCUUAAUGUCUAGUGAACCAUAUAAUUUUUUAAUAAUUAAGGAAUAGCCACAGCAACCUUAAUUAUAUAAAAAUAUAUAUUAAGUAAAUCUGGAUCACAUUAUGGACAUUAAUUGUAAUUAAUUAUAUGAAUAUGACGAUUUUACCCCAUAGGGAUUUCAUUAUAUUUAUAUAAUUAAUUAGGAUAAAAUAUUAAUAUUAAUUUUCCUAAUUUACCCACAGGAGUUGGGAAUAAUUAAUUUAAUAGGUUUAUCAUAAAGCUUAUAGAUAGAAAAAUAUCAAACCAUAUUCAUAAUAAAUUUCAUAAUUAAAUAAAAUAGUUUGAUAAAGUUUAUCAUAAAGAUAAAGAAUUUUAUUGAAUUAAAGAUUUAGCCCACAGACAAUUUUUAAUAAAAUUAGAUUCAAUUUUUUAGCAUGUUCUACAUUGGUAAAACAUGAAUUUAAAUUAAAGCCUCAGUUUUUAAUAAGUUUGUAAUAUUUUUUUAUGCAGUUUUACCUAGCAUAUUUGAUAUUCGUUGUGAGGUUCCCAAACUUAGGAGAGAUAACUUUAAGAUAUGGAAGGAGAGAAUUCUUCUUCAUUUAGGGUGCAUGGACAUAGAUUAUGCUAUAAGGAAAGAUGAACCACAUAAGAUCACUGAUACCAGCACACCUGAACAAAUUUUAUUGUACGAACGCUAGGAGAAAUCUAAUCGCCUUAGUGUGAUGUACAUUAAGACAAAAAUUAGUGCUGGCAUACGUGGUUCAAUCGAGCAACAUGAGAAUGUCCGUGAAUUGCUAAAGGCUAUUGACGAGCAAUUCGUCACUUCAGAUAAAGCCUUGGCAAGCACCCUAAUUAUGAAGUUCACAUCCUUGAAGCUCACCGGUAUAAGAGGUGUGCGUGAACAUAUCAUGGAGAUGAGGGACAUUGUGGCUCAAUUGAAGAAACUCGAGGUAGAAAUGUCUGAAUCUUUCUUGGUGCACUUUAUCCUUAACACUCUUCCACCUCAGUAUGGACCUUUCAAAAUCUCUUACAACACACAUAAGGAUAAGUGGUCUAUCAAUGAAUUGAUGACCAUGUGUGUUCAAUAGGAAGGAAGGUUAAUGAUGGAACAAGGAGAAAGUGCCAUGCUGGUGACGCAAAGGAAAUGAAAGAAAGGAAAAUCUCAAGCCAGUCAGAAAGGGAAGCAACAAAUUUCUCCUAAAUCUGACAUUAAGAAAGACGAAAAGUGUUUUUUCUGUAAAAAGAAAGGACACGUGAAGAAGAAAUGUCUGAAAUUUCAGAAUUGGCUUGAGAAGAAAGGUAACCCUACCUCAUUUGUUUGCUAUGAAUCUAAUAUGGUUAAUGUAAACACCAACACAUGGUGGAUUGAUUCUGGAUCUACAAUCCACAUUUCAAAUUCCUUGCAAGGUAUGCAAAACCUAAGGAAGCCAGUGAAAAAUGAGCAAUUCAUCUUAUCCGGAAACAAGAUGGGCUCGCAUGUGGAAGCAAUAGGGACAUGUUAUUUAACUUUAUAUGGUGGUUUUAUUUUGGAAUUGCAAAGGACCUUUUAUGUACCAAGUUUCUCACGAAACUUGAUUUCAGUUUCUAGACUUGUAUCGUUUGGAUAUUCCUUUCAUUUUUCAGAAACAUCUUUCAGUUUGAUUUAUAAAUUUGAUUGUGUUGGGAAUGGUAUCUUGCCUGAUGGUCUUUAUUGUAUAUUCUUACAAAAUGAUACCGCUCAUAAUUCAUUACAUGUCCAAACUGGCAUUAAGAGAUGUGUUGUAAAAGAUGAUUCCUCUACAUUGUGGCACCGGAGAUUAGGUCAUAUCUCCAUAGAUAGAAUCAAAAGAUUGGUGAAUGAUGGGGUACUUAGUACUCUAGAUUUUACUGACUUUGAGACUUGUGUGGACUGCAUUAAGGGUAAGCAGACCAAUAAGUCAAAGAGAGGUGCUACUAGGAGUUCCACCAUACUAGAGAUCAUACAUACUGAUAUAUGUAGUCUUGACAUGGACUCUCAUGGUCAGAAAUACUUCAUCUCUUUCAUAGAUGAUUUCUCACGAUACAUGUAUCUCUACAUACUUCAUAAUAAACAUGAAGCUUUAGAUACCUUUAAAGUCUUCAAGGCAGAAGUAGAGAAACAAUAUGGUAAACAAAUUAAGAUUAUGAGAUCAAAUAGAAGUGGAGAAUAUUAUGGUAGAUACUUGGAAGAUGGACAAUCACCUGGGCCAUUUGCGAAGUUUCUUCAAGAGCAUGGGAUUGUUGCCCAAUACACCAUGCCUAGUUCUCCAGACCAAAAUGGUGUAGCGGAAAGAAGAAACUGAACUUUAUUGGACAUGGUGAGGAGUAUGCUUAGUAGCUCAAAACUUCCUAAAUUCUUAUGGACUGAAGCACUUAAGACAGCUGUGUACAUAUUAAACCGAGUUCCAACCAAGGCUGUCCCAAAAACGCCAUUUAAGUUAUUGAAAGGUUGGAAAUCGAGUUUACGACAUAUGCGCGUUUGGGGAUGCUCGUUUGAAGUGAGAAUUUAUAAUCCACAAGAGAAGAAACUGGACCCAAGGACUAUUAGUGGGUAUUUCAUUGGAUAUGCUGAAAAGUCCAAGGGGUACAGAUUUUAUUGUCCAUCUCACAACACUAGGAUUGUGGAAUCAAGAAAUGCUAAAUUUCUUGAAUAUGACUUGGUCGGUGGGAGCGAUCAAUUUAGAAACAUAGUUUCUGAUAUUGAUCAUACAGAGUCUCAACCUUCCACUUCAAGCGAUAGAUUGUUUAUUGUUCAUAACACCCCUCAAGUACAAACGGGUGUUGAACGAACAAUUGAUGAAGUUCAACCAGUCAUUGAAGUUCCACAAGUUGUUGACAACAUUCCUAUAAACCAAGUUGAUCAGGAGUUGCCUAACACUUCUGAACAACAAGUUGAACCUCAUACUUCCUCGGAAGAUAUUGGUGCAACCUUAAGAAGGUCUGCUCGAACUAAGAGGUCAGCAAUUCCUAGUGAUUAUGUAGUGUAUCUAUAAGAAUUUGACUACAAUAUAGGAGCCGAAAAUGAUCCAGAAUCAUUUUCACAAGCCAUGAGUUGCAAAGAAUUAGAAUUGUGGUACAAUGCCAUGAAGGAUGAGAUGAGUUCCAUGAGGUGCAACGAUGUUUGGGACCUUGUUGAGUUGCCUAAUGGUGUAAAAACCAUUGGUUGUAAAUGGGUUUUUAAGACAAAGAAAGACUCAUCAGGCAACAUUGAGAGAUACAAGGCCAGACUUGUUGCAAAGGGGUUCACUCAAAAAGAAGGAAUCGAUUACACGGAAACCUUUUCUUCUGUAUCUAAAAAGGAUUCCUUGCGCAUUAUAUUGGCAUUAGUAGCCCACUUUGAUUUAGAAUUGCAACAAAUGGAUGUGAAAACAACAUUUCUUAAUGGAGAGCUAGAGGAGGAGGUUUACAUGAAACAACCUGAAGGAUUCCCCUCUAGUGAUGGUGAGCAAUUGGUUUGUAAGCUUAAGAAAUCCAUAUACGGUUUGAAACAAGCAUCCCGCCAAUGGUAUUUAAAAUUCCAUAACAUAAUUUCUUCAUUUGGUUUUGUUGAAAAUGUUAUGGAUCAAUGCAUAUACCUUAAGGUUAGUGGGAGUAAAGUUUGUUUUCUUGUUUUAUACGUGGAUGACAUCUUACUUGCAACCAAUGAUAAGGGUUUACUUCAUGAGGUGAAACAAUUCCUCUCUAAAAAUUUUGACAUGAAGGAUAUGGGUGAGGCAUCUUAUGUCAUUGCAUUAAGAUCCAUAGAGACAGAUUUAAAGGUAUCUUAGGUUUGUCUCAAGAAACCUAUAUCAAUAAAGUUUUAGAGAGAUUUCGGAUGAAGAAUUGUUCACCUAGUGUUUCCCCUAUAGUGAAGGGUGAUAAGUUCAAUCUGAACCAAUGCCCGAAAAAUGAUCUUGAGAGGGAAUAGAUGAAGAACAUUCCAUAUGCUUCUGCAGUCGGAAGUUUGAUGUAUGCUCAGGUCUGCACAAGGCCUGACAUUGCAUUUGCUGUUGGAACGUUAGGACAGAGUAACCCAGGUAUAGACCAUUGGAAAGCUGCAAAGAAAGUGAUAAGAUAUCUUCAAGGAACCAAAGAUUACGAGCUUAUGUACAGACGAACAAGCAAUUUAAAGGUAGUUGGCUACUCAGAUUCAGACAUUGCUAACUGUGUUGAUUCACGUAAAUCAACAUCUGGAUACAUUUUUAUAUUGGCCGGUGGAGCUAUAUCUUGGAAGAGCGUUAAGCAAACCAUGACUGCUACUUCUAUUAUGGAAGUUGAGUUCAUAUCUUGUUUUGAGGCUACUUCACAUGGUGUAUGGCUCAAGAGUUUCAUUUCUGGACUUAGAGUUAUGGAUUCAAUAUCUAGGCCAUUGAGUAUAUAUUGUGACAAUUCAGCUGCAGUCUUUAUGGCAAAGAACAAUAAAAGUGGAAGUCGAAGCAAGCACAUUGACAUUAAGUAUCUAGCCAUAAGAGAACGUGUUAAAGAAAAGAAAGUGGUCAUUGAGCACAUUAGCACUAAAUUGAUGAUUGUUGAUCCUUUGACUAAGGGCAUGCCACCGUUCAAAUUCAAGGAUCAUGUAAUGAACAUGGGACUUAGUUCCCUUAUGUAGUUUUUAUUGUACAAACUCUUAUUAUGAUGUUUUCUCAUAUUGAUGUGCACCUUUAUUUAAUUUUGAGAAAAUUCAACUUCAUUGGACCAAGAAUGAACAUAGGGUUUAUUCAUUAAGUAAUAUUAAUAUUGCCACAAAGUAAAAUGUUAAGAAAUGAAUGCAUUGUAAUACAUGGAAGAUAAUACUCGUUAUAUAGAGGACUUAUCGCCAUGAUUCAUGUAUUUGUUACUUAAUAUGGAUAAUUGAUGGAUUAAGAUAGGACAUUAAGUUAAAGGUGUGGACCAAGUGGGAGAAUGUUAUCACCACCCCAUGUCGUCUCCACGUUCACCACCAUGAAGGGGUGAUUUUGAAGUGGUCACACCCACGUCCUCCACCAUAAUCGCACUUUUUCCAUUGCGUUAAAGGAGGGUGUGGCAAAUCUGUAGAGACGUGGUAUGAUGGGAAGCCACGCAUAUAUAUUUCACAUAUGGUCCCGAACUCGUGAUCUACCGUUUUUCUUUCUUCAGUAAUAGACCAUCCAUAGGAGAUCAUCAGAGUUUGGAAACCGAUUACAGCAACUUGAAUCAAUGGCUGGAGGUAAGUAGACUAUGCCUAGUCUUUUACAGAUUCAGUUCAUCUUGCAAGUAUUAAUUUUGAAUUGAAUGUAUCAUAUGAAUUUCUCACAUAUACCACUUGACAUCUCCUGUGUCCAAAUCAAAUGCCAAGAUUGAAUCCGAGUGGUUUUCAGGCUCAACGAAUUGGUCAGGCUCAGUAGGGACAGUCUGGUUAUUUUCCAUUUCCUGGCACUCACGUACAUGCAAAGGAGCUGAAUAUAGGUUCCCAGUGGCAACAUACACAAGGUUCCUUAGACAUCAAUGGAAGGGCCGCUUCCCCUGAUACCUGCCCCCGCAUACUCUCCCAUUCCUCCACCAUUGUCAGGCAAUGUCAAGGUCUUCCACAAUAUGGCACCUGAUUUCGUGUCUAAUUUGCAGAGGCUACCCCGGAAUGUGCAGCAGUGCUCCUGGUCAGAGGCUUCUUCUAGUGAAGAUGUCCCAACAUAGAAAUCCCUAAAGAAAAAUAAUAAUGCAUAUUAGACUCAAUAGUGCUUUUUUCCUGAUAACAUUUCUCUAAACCUUAGCAAGAUAUACAUUGUUGGUCUAUUACUUAAACGGUAUUUUAAAAAUGGUAUCAGAGCAACAUCCUAAAGUUUUUGUAGUUCAACUAUUCAGCCCUAAAAUUUUCAUUUCAACUUGUACCAAUCAGUUCAGAAAAAUAUGUUCAUAUUUCAACCAGUUUCCUCAUUGUUAUCUUAAGCCUAAACUAUAAUUUGAUUAAUUGUUCCUUUCCUUUAUACAACAGGUCAUACAAGAAAUUGUGUUUCAAAGUCUAAUAAGCUGCUGAUAAACACUACCUGCUAUAUAUAUGAAAAGAUUAAUCUAACUUAAUCACAAAGUCAAUGGCUGAAUUUAUGUAUACCCAUUGCCCAAAUUGUAGUUUCUUAAUGUUGACCAACUGAUAUGACAUGAUCAAGGCUUAGUAUAUGGUAAACUUACCAGUUAUAAAAAGUUCCCGACACGGCAACAAGACUUGCAGGAUGAUUAUCCAGCCUAGUAGACCACCCCAGCAUCCCUGUUGCUCGUUCAACACCAAUGACAACACAAGGUCCAUAGAUUCCAAUAAUCAGCAGGUCACCCGCGAUGGUCGGAGUUGAUCUUGAAACAGUCCCGUUCAAAUUAGCAAGGACCCCAGUUGCAUUAAGGCCAGUUAACUCGUGCUAGUUCUUCUUCCAUACAAGAGAUCCAUCCGAUAUUAAUUUAAUAAGAGAACUUAAUAUAUUUUUAUUUGUCAGAUGCUGGGUAUCUUCAAUUUGCUGGGACAAAAACACUCAGCCCAGGAGUUAAUUUAUUUUGGGUUUGAGCCCCAACUGUGCCAGCCCUCAUGAUGUCUAGUUGGGCCCAUGAGAAGUGGACCUAUAAACUUGAUAUUUUUCAUAAUCUUGUCAGGGGGGACAAAAAGAACAUAUGAUAGAAAAUAAUCAAAAGAAUUAUUCAAUUAAGAAAUCUGAAAAGUUGAUGGGCAGAACAUUGGAUACUUACACUGAAAGAGGGAAAGUGAUGAGAGUGCAAUUGGGAUGUGUUUGGGUAUCUCAAGUUACAUUCAACACCCAGAAGCAUGUCACAUGAGCAAGUGGAUGCAAAGGCACAUGACUCUCAUGUUGCAACUGAUAAGUUACUCAAUUGUUCAUUGAAAAUAGAUAAAGUCACACCUUAGAAGUGGUGGGUUUCUUUUUUCCUUUCUUUUCUUUUUUCUUUCCCAUCCCCCCAUUUUUUUUCUUUUUGCUUAUUUGGCCCUCAUAACCGAAAAAUAAAAUGAGAGAAAACGAAGAUGAAAAUGAGAGACAUCAACUAAAAAGGAAGCUAAAAGGAAAAGUUAAACAUUGUUAUCUUGAUAUAAAACAACAUUACUUUAAUAUAUUAUUACAGAUCAUCCAAAAAAUUCCUCCCUUAAGACAAAGCAUAUAAUAGUUUUUUUAUUUAAAAAAAAAUAUCAUUAUUGGUCCCACUAUCAGAAAAUGCCUAGUGAAGAAUCUUGGCAGUCCAAGUGCACCUUGCUAAGUCUAGACAACUGGCUCAUGCUUUCAGAUUUCACCAUCUCCCUCCAUUUGGACUUUUGCAAUAAUUCCUCUGUUCAAUACUAAUCUCAAUUUUCUUCCUCUGACUAACUUUGAUAUACCUAUAUAUAACCCCCUUUGGCAUUCAGAAAGCUUCCAAGAAGAGGCUUUGGAUCUUAUUUUGAUGGCCAAUAUCUCUGUUUUUGUUUGCUUCAUCACACUUGUCUUUUGUUUUGCCACUGGUUCGGUGGCAAAAAAGGAAGAUGGUGGAAUAUAUGAGCUCAGGAAAGGAGAUUUCUCAGCGAAGUUCACCAAGUGGGGUGCAGCCAUUGUUUCAGUUGUUCUUCCUGACAAAAAUGGUCUGUUCAUUUUGGCUUCUUCACUUUCUGUUAUUCUGUUUGUUUGGGGUUUUUAAGAUUUUCUCAACAACUUUCUUUUCUUUUCCAGGGAAGUUGGCUGAUGUUGUUCUUGGGUAUGAUUCAACUAAGGAGUACAAGGUGUGAAAUUUUUUCUGUUUGCAAUGUUUUCUUCUUCUUCUUCUUCUUCUUCUUCUUCUUCUUCUUGCUAUCUCUCUGAGUGGAUUUGUGUGAUAAAGGGAGCUCUAGUUUCAGCAUUGGAUAAGGGGCAGUUUUGGCAUUUCAGAAGGGUAUUUGCUAAAAGUCUGACUGCCCCAUUUGAUGAAAUGUUAGGUUUAGUACAAAAGCUCCUUUACUUUCUCUGCAAUUUGUAAAAUUUUCCUUUCAGUUUGUGUUCGUGCCCUUUGAACUAGUUCUAUGAUAGAACAAGCUUUCAUAUUGAACAUUAUCUGUGGUGGAUCUUCAUAAGUUAGUCAUCCAUAGAUCAGUAUCUGUAAAUCUUCUAGAUUUUCAUUCAAAUUGUUUUAGGGUUUUGUUUGAAUCUGGGAAAAAGACUCCAUUCAAUGAAAUUUAGUAUAAGGGUAUCUUCACUGAUGUUUUACCUAGUUUAUAUACUGCCAUUAACCCAAAAAAAAAGGGAGGGCUUGAUAGCUUAAUAUUUUCCAUUUUGUCCCACACUCUAUGUCCACUUCUCCCAGUCAUAUUUUCUAUCGACUCUCACACAAGAAAACCAAGUCGAUGGCGUGGAAGAUUGUAGCAUGCUUAUCUGGUCCUUGUCUUUAUCUGGUGACACUCGAAAGUCUUCUUGUUGACUGAAAAUGUCUCACCUUCCCUUAAAGAAAUUUGCCAUUGACAGCAACAACUGAUCUGGACAUGUGGAAUAUGCUUAUAUGAAGCCGACCCCAAUCCUUUUUUUAUGCUUGACUCGAUUGUUGGAGUGCAAUAAUGCCUCUCUUCAACCCGAGAAUGGGUUGCCUAAAUGAUACUAAUAUCAAAUGCCAUAAAAGACUUGAUCUACCCUCAUUAGAUACCAUUUUGGAUGAAAUAGUCAAAGUCUGAUCCAAGCUUGACAUACAAGUCUUUUUUUGUCUUGGUUAGGAUGCUGCAUACUGUAGAAAAAUUCAUAGAUAAAUUCAAUGCCAAUUGGUAUCUCCCUGUUUUUUUAAUCCACUCAGUAGGGUACAUUUAUUGUAGGAGACACCGAAUGCACUUAUUUUAACAAAUUGCAAAUGGUUUUUGUUAACAUAUUGAAUAAAAUGGGGCUUAUAUUAAUAUUUUUUUCCCCUAGGCUCUUGACUGAGCCCUACGAUUUGUGCUUCUGUUCUUGAUAUUUUGACCAAAAUCAAUAGUGAUUAGUUCACUGAAGGCCGUUCUUCUUAUGCAUUCAUUUGUUUCAGAAUGAUACAACGAAUUUCGGUGCCAUUGUUGGACGAGUGGCUAAUAGGAUUGGAGGCGCACAAUUUACAUUGAACGGAACCCACUAUAAGCUAGUUGCUAAUGACGGGAAAAACAUGCUUCAUGGUACUUUGUUCUUAUUCUAACCUAACUGGCAAAAUUCUCCAAUCAGCCUGGCAAAAGAAUAAACAUUUUCCUUGAUUUAUUCCAGCUAUUUUGUUUUACUGAAUUUUGUUAUAUGGAUACUAGGCGGGCCUAAAGGAUUCGGUAAAGUUGCUUGGAGAGUGAGUAAAUAUGAGAAAGGCGGUCAUUCUCCUUACAUCAUGUUCAGCUAUCACAGCUUAGAUGGUGAAGAAGGUAAGUGCAUCUAUAUUAUGCUUGAAUAAAUAUUAUGAUAACGUGAGCUAUGAUAACCAAAUUGAAUAGCAUGUGUUGUGUUGGGCUUCUUAGAUAGAGAUGUUAUCUACACUGAAACUGUAUCCAAUUUUAUGCAGGAUUUCCUGGUGACCUCAUUGCCACCGUCACAUAUAUGCUUGUUGGUGAUUAUCAAUUGAUUGUAACCAUGAAAGCCAAAGCUCUAAACAAGGCCACCCCAGUAAACCUCGCUCAGCAUGCCUAUUGGAACCUGGGUGGUCACACCUCUGGCGAUAUCCUGUCCAACGAAAUCCAGAUCUUCGGUUCCCACAUCACUCCAGUUGAUAAAGAGCUCAUCCCCACAGGCAAAAUUGUCCCUGUGAAGGGAACACCAUAUGAUUUCCUCAAACCCUGCACCAUUGGAAGCA